GUGCUUGCUUCAGCAGCACAUACACUAAAAUUGGAACAAUACAGAGAAGAUAGUAUGGCCCCUGAAAAGUGUUCCACAUUAAAAAAAGAAAAUUAAAAUAAAAAU
ensembl:snRNA U6 U6 spliceosomal RNA